UACAGAGGUCUCAAGCGUUGUUCGGAUUCAUUGGGCGUAAAGGGUGCGUAGGUGGCAUGGUAAGUCGGAUGUGAAAUCCCGGGGCUCAACCCCGGAACUGCAUUCGAUACUGCUGAGCUAGAGUACUGGAGAGGAGAUUGGAAUUUACGGUGUAGCAGUGAAAUGCGUAGAUAUCGUAAGGAAGACCAGUGGCGAAGGCGGCAUCCUGGACCAACACUGACACUGAGGAGCGAAAGCCAGGGGAGCAAACGGG
rnacentral:rRNA from 1 species